rnacentral:misc_RNA from 1 species
GAAAUGCGAUAACUAAUGUGAAUUGCAGAAUUCAGUGAAUCAUCGAGUCUUUGAACGCACAUUGCGCCCCCUGGUAUUCCGGGGGGCAUGCCUGUCCGAGCGUCAUUGCUGCACUCAAGCCCGGCUUGGGUGUUGGGUCGCCGUCCCCCUCUCCGGGGGGACGGGCCCGAAAGGCAGCGGCGGCACCGCGUCCGAUCCUCGAGCGUAUGGGGCUUUGUCACAUGCUCUGUAGGAUUGGCCGGCGCCUGCCGACGUUUUCCAACCAUUUUUUCCAGGUUGACCUCGGAUCAGGUAGGGAUACCCGCUGAACUUAAGC